GCGUGGUGGUUCAUGGCUGUAGUCCCAGCUGCUCUGGAGGCCAAGGUGGGAGGAUUGCUUGAGCCUAGGAGGUGCACAACAGUUACCAUCUCUCCUGGCCUUCCUCAUCUCUCUAGGUAUCCUUUUUUUCAUAGGAUGCCUACAUUUGAACACCUAGCCAAAUUUUUAGCCGGUUAGAUUCCGAGGGAACCUCAGCCUUCAUUUCAGGCAAACAAGCAAAUUUCAAGCCUCAUUUUAGGCCUCAGCUCCCCCAAAGGGUCCUUCCAGCAUCUUAGCAGGAGGUCCUGUUCUACCACCAGGCUGUGACCCCCGGUCAGAACAGGGACAGAAUCUGCAAGCUUGAGAUCAUCAGAAAGGCUUUCCCAGAGCUCAGGGGCUCCUGGAGGUCAGGGUACUACUAGGAAGAGAAGAACCAGCACCUGUCUGCCUUCAGUCUCAAACC
rnacentral:lncRNA from 1 species